rnacentral:sRNA from 1 species
AUUUGCCAUGGUUAGAGUAUUGACUAUUACCAUCGUAGCUGCACAAGACACCAGUCAGAGGCUUUGCGCAAAUUGCAGUGCGACUGUGCAAAUUACAAAUUGCGCAAUCAUAAGCAAAUGGAAAAAAAAAACUCAAAUCUAGAGUUUCCCGACAUGAUUUCGCAGACCAUGCAUAUCGUGGUCAAGACAAGAGGAUCAUUGAUAAAUUCAGUUUCUUGAAGCAAGCAGGUGCAGAGAAGUUGUACCCUAUUUUAUGAGGCAUCACACAAAUCAGCGGCUGGGGAAGCUACGAGCUCUGGAACUCCCUGUCUGUCAUCAGUGUCUAGUUCGUCUCUAGCUAGUUCUCUUGUACUUCUUGACUUGUUAUUGUUGUUCAGGUCAUCUAACUCCUGGGGUUUGUUCAGCGUGCAAGUCAAUAAAUUUGUAUUGUGCUAUUUUGUUAAUGAAAUGAAACGCGAUCGUUUGGUUUUU